GGUGUACCUACGAUGAAAAUUACAGAUCUCUCCAUUCUUUCUCCUUUCGGAUCUGUGAGACCACGCCAAUGUUGAUGUGGACCAACAAAUUCUCACACAGCUCUCUGCAUACAGUUGGAAGCAGCUAUUCUGCUCUUGCCUGCUCUGUUCAAGGAGGACCCAGGGUUGCUGUUUGAAGUUGAGGGCCAUUCUCAGACCAGCCCAUCCCAACAUCUAAGAUGAAGCUUUGGGCAGGUCAUCUCGUACAGUAUGACCACACUGUGCUCACGUUGGAUGGACAGUUAAUCACAGAGGAGAGCGAGGACAUCUCGACGACACUGGGACUCCUCCUGUGUGUAUAUUUUGUGUUUGGAAUCCAGUAUCCUAAAGCAGUGGUUCUCAAUUCCAGUCCUGGCGACCUGCCCCCACAUGUUUUGCAUGUCUCACUUAUUUAACAUGCCUGAUUCAGAUCAUGAGCUCGUUAGAAAAGAGCUCUAUGAAUGAACUGUGCUCUGACUGACAUGGUGCCUACUAGGGUUGCACCAUACACCGGUACUACGGUAGUAUCGUGAUACUAAAGCUUAAAAAUACCCCCGGUGCCAUUGCAUUUUUUAAACGGUAGUAUCAUCCAUACAGUACCUUAAGAUAUGUUGUAUGUACGGCAGGAACACUGUUUAAAACAUUCAUUUGAACAUGCAUGCCAGCAGAAACAUUACAAGUUGAUUGCCAAAUGUCUUUCUGCUGUGCUCUGUGUAGUAUAGUCUGUGUAUACACGUUAUAUAGUAUUGAGUGUUUCCUGAUGCUUCAGUUCAGUUUGCAGUGAGAAGUUGCACACAUUGUUGUUCAUGCUGCAGUUUGUCAGAAGAAAGGGUCUGAUUCAGACCAUGAUGUCAUUUUAAAAACCCAGCCAACAUUUCCACGUGGGCCCCAUGUGGGUUUUUGAUGGGCAACCCAAAUGGGACCCAUACAAUUUUGUCCAUCGGCUCCACUUGGGCCCCAUGUGUGUUAGCCCAUAGGGGCACAU